rnacentral:lncRNA from 1 species
UUCCCAUGAAAAUUCAGCCUUUCCUACUCCCACCUUCAAACAAUAUUUAAGUCUCACCACCUCACUGUAGAACAGUGAUUGCUCAGCCCCUCACGUGGCUGAAGGCAAAGUACUUAAUGGAGGCAGUGAGGCUUGCCACAGAAGACCAGUCUGUUCUGGCAAAUGGCAGAAAACUUACCAGCCUUUUGUACUCCUUUGUUUGCUGACAUGAUGAACAGUUCACUGAGCUGCUAAUCAGGAGCGUCAGCAACAAUAAGCCGUUUUAGCCAGUUCUUCAUUCCCAGGUCCCAUAGCUAAUGAUGUACAUCAUGCCUAGAGGAAAGUAGUGUUUUAGUUUUAUGCAGAGUGCCUGGCUACUGUGUAGUUUAUGGGGAGAGACAUAUGCUGCAGUCCUUGUGUAAUAAUUCCUCCUCACAUUAGAAAAGCGUCCAGACUAAGGGUAAUGGAAACUUGCAGAAGAACAGUAGAUCUAAUGAGAGGAAGAGUGAGGAAAUGA